GGAUGAACGCUGGCGGCGUGCCUACUACAUGCAAGUCGAGCGAACAGACGAGGAGCUUGCUCCUCUGACGUUAGCGGCGGACGGGUGAGUAACACGUGGAUAACCUACCUAUAAGACUGGGAUAACUUCGGGAAACCGGAGCUAAUACCGGAUAAUAUAUUUAACCGCAUGGUUCAAUAGUGAAAGACGGUUUUGCUGUCACUUAUAGAUGGAUCCGCGCCGCAUUAGCUAGUUGGUAAGGUAACGGCUUACCAAGGCAACGAGGCGUAGCCGACCUGAGUGGAUGAGCGGCCACACUGGAACUGAGACACGGUCCAGAAUCCUACGGGAGGCAGCAGUAGGGAAUCUUCCGCAAUGGGCGAAAGCCUGACGGAGCGACGCCGCGUGAGUGAUGAAGGUCUUCGGAUCUUAAAACUCUGUUAUUAGGGAAGAACAAAUGUGUAAAUAACUAUACACGUCUUGACGGUACCUAAUCAGAAAGCCACGGCUAACUACGUG
rnacentral:rRNA from 1 species